UACAGAGGGUGCAAGCGUUAAUCGGAAUUACUGGGCGUAAAGCGUGCGUAGGUGGUUUGCUAAGUCAGGUGUGAAAUCCCCGGGCUCAACCCGGGAACUGCAUUUGAUACUGGCAGGCUAGAGUGUGGUAGAGGAUAGUGGAAUUCCCGGUGUAGCGGUGAAAUGCGUAGAUAUCGGAAGGAACACCAGUGGCGAAAGCGGCUUCCUGGUCCAGCACCGACGUUCAGGCACGAAAGCGUGGGGAG
rnacentral:rRNA from 1 species